GCGCCCAUAGCUCAACCGGACAGAGCAACGGCCUUCUAAGCCGUGGGUUGCAGGUUCGAGUCCUGCUGGGCGCG
rnacentral:tRNA from 1 species